rnacentral:rRNA from 1 species
UACGGAGAGGGCUAGCGUUGUUCGGAAUUACUGGGCGUAAAGCGCACGUAGGCGGCUUUGCAAGUUAGAGGUGAAAGCCCGGGGCUCAACUCCGGAAUUGCCUUUAAAACUGCAUCGCUAGAAUUGUGGAGAGGUAAGUGGAAUUCCGAGUGUAGAGGUGAAAUUCGUAGAUAUUCGGAAGAACACCAGUGGCGAAGACGACUUACUGGACACAUAUUGACGCUGAGGUGCGAAAGCGUGGGGAGCAAACAGG